rnacentral:miRNA from 1 species
UAUAGGUUGUUGCAAAAGUAAUUGUGGUUUUUGCCAUUGAGAGUAAUGGCAAAAACUACAGUCACUUUUGCACCAACCUAAUAAA